UACGUAGGGGGCAAGCGUUGUCCGGAAUCAUUGGGCGUAAAGCGCGCGUAGGCGGCCCGGUAAGUCCGCUGUGAAAGUCAAAGGCUCAACCUUUGAAUGCCGGUGGAUACUGCCAGGCUGGAGUCCGGAAGAGGAGAGUGGAAUUCCUGGUGUAGCGGUGAAAUGCGCAGAUAUCAGGAGGAACACCGAUGGCGAAGGCAGGUCUCGUGGGCCACUACUGACGCUGAGAAGCGAAAGCGUGGGGAGCGAACAGG
rnacentral:rRNA from 1 species